CUACGUGCCAGCAGCCGCGGUAAUACGUAGGUGGCAAGCGUUGUCCGGAAUUAUUGGGCGUAAAGCGCGCGCAGGCGGAUUGGUCAGUCUAUCUUAAAAGUUCGGGGCUUAACCCCGUGAUGGGAUGGAAACUGCCAAUCUAGAGUAUCGGAGAGGAAAGUGGAAUUCCUAGUGUAGCGGUGAAAUGCGUAGAUAUUAGGAAGAACACCAGUGGCGAAGGCGACUUUCUGGACGAAAACUGACGCUGAGGCGCGAAAGCCAGGGGAGCGAACGGGAUUAGAUACCCCGGUAGUCCUGGCCGUAAACGAUGGGUACUAGGUGUAGGAGGUAUCGACCCCUUCUGUGCCGGAGUUAACGCAAUAAGUACCCCGCCUGGGGAGUACGACCGCAAGGUUGAAACUCAAAGGAAUUGACGGGGGCCCGCACAAGCGGUGGAGUAUGUGGUUUAAUUCGACGCAACGCGAAGAACCUUACCAGGUCUUGACAU
rnacentral:rRNA from 1 species